UCCUUUCCUUCGGGACAAGAGUGACAGGUGGUGCAUGGUUGUCGUCAGCUCGUGUCGUGAGAUGUUGGGUUAAGUCCCGCAACGAGCGCAACCCUUAUCUUCAGUAGCCAGCAAUUCGGUUGGGCACUCUGGGGAGACUGCCAGGGAUAACCUGGAGGAAGGUGGGGAUGACGUCAAAUCAUCAUGCCCCUUAUGAUUUGGGCUACACACGUGCUACAAUGGCGUAAACAAAGGGAAGCAGCCCUGUGAAGGUGAGCAAAUCCCAAAAAUAACGUCUCAGUUCGGAUUGUAGUCUGCAACUCGACUACAUGAAGCUGGAAUCGCUAGUAAUCGCGAAUCAGAAUGUCGCGGUGAAUACGUUCCCGGGUCUUGUACACACCGCCCGUCACACCAUGGGAGUCGGAAAUGCCCGAAGUCAGUGACCCAACCGUAAGGAGGGAGCUGCCGAAGGUGGAGCCGGUAACUGGGGUGAAGUCGUAACAAGGUAGCCGUAUCGGAAGGUGCGGCUGGAUCACCUC
rnacentral:rRNA from 1 species